rnacentral:rRNA from 1 species
AUUGAACGCUGGCGGCAUGCCUUACACAUGCAAGUCGAACGGCAGCGCGGGGCAACCUGGCGGCGAGUGGCGAACGGGUGAGUAAUAUAUCGGAACGUACCCUGGGAGUGGGGGAGUAACGUAGCGAAAGUUACGCUAAUACCGCAUACGAUCUAAGGAUGAAAGCAGGGGACCGCAAGGCCUUGUGCUCCUGGAGCGGCCGAUAUCUGAUUAGCUAGUUGGUGGGGAAAGGCCUACCGAGGCAUCGAUCAGUAGCUGGUCUGAGAGGACGACCAGCCACACUGGAACUGAGACACGGUCCAGACUCCUACGGGAGGCAGCAGUGGGGAAUUUGGACAAUGGGCGCAAGCCUGAUCCAGCAAUGCCGCGUGAGUGAAGAA